UUGGGUGCUAGCAAAGGCGGUCCGUUUGAACGAAGCCAAGAGCUGCAUAAGGGCAGGAAGCUGGACUGCUAGGAUCAGGCGACUACAAGGAGUUGUGAAGCGACUUGCACCGACCUGGGGGCAGCAAGAGGCCCCGGGGCUGCUUUCCGCUGUUCGACUCUGGCAGGCUCAGCCAAUCACUGAAGGAGGGAACGAUUUGAGCGAUGGAGCCACUCUGGCCGAGUUAGAGCUGAGAUUAUCCUGAGUUCCUUUUACUGGUGUUCUCAGAGCAUCCUUGACUUUGGAGAAUGCAGGAGAAGCAGAUGCCACACUCAGAGCAGGACUGAGGCUUCUCACCUGUAUGCGUGUGCCUAUGAAUGGCCAAGGGAGCCUCUUUGGUGCACGCACCACACACAGUCAAAGCACCAGUAGGGCUUCUCUCCUGCAUGGAUAAGCUGGUGCUGGAGCAAGUUUCCCAGUCAGCAAGGGGAGUGCCACACUGUAGGCAGUGGUGGCAGUGCUCACCCAAGUGCAUGUGCCUGGUGGUGGCCACAAGGGAGGGGAAUGCAAACUGGCACCCACAUCUGUGCACACAUCCGCAUAUGUGCGUGGACAGCGCCCUCCUCAGGUGGAAGAGGUGGCUGCAGUCGGAGCCCUUGCAGAGCUCGUCCCCUGUGUGGGGGCAGCUGGUGCUGGACCAGGUGAGCUCUCUGGGAGAAUUAGACACUGCAUGACCCACAAAUGUGGCUGUCGGUUCGGGACUGAACAAAGGAGGACGAACGCAGAAAUGGAGACAAAGAAAAGGAUCUGUUUUAAAGAAAGUGUCGGGGGCUCCUUGCUUCUAGGGAAUAAGGGCCCUGAGCUUCUACAGCCCUUCAUAUUUAUUAGGUAGAAUCAACAGGGACUAAGAGGUAGUAGUUGGUCAGCUGCUUGAUUUAGCACAGGCUCACAUAAUUGCUUUCUUUAUACAACAGGCUCCAGAUGUUCCUAUAGAUAACUACAAGGAACAACUGCACCUGGUGUGUGACUGUCCUCAGCAUUCCUUCUGGUGGCAGACGCAGUUGUCAGCUUGCCAACAUCCUGCAUUCAUGAGAACAGUUUGCUGUUUGCUCAUAUAGCCUCCAGUGGUAUACUGAGUUGGUCACGACCCUCAUUCUUUUGGCCUCCAACAUCUCCCCCUUUCUGUUUUUGCAUUAGUUGAAUAAAGGUAAUUGCAGGCUGUGCAGCUCUCAA